GAUCAAAAUUGACAGAGGAAUGGGGCUCUAUAGUAGUUCUUGCAGCAGAAGAUUGGUAGUUGAAGGAGAGAGAAAGCUUGAAAUUAAGCAAUCAACAAUGACGACCACUUCGGAUUUGCUGUUGAACUAAACUCUCAAGAAAUCUAUUUGAACCCAGAACAGUGAACUUUAUACCGAUCGUGCUCAAGCCAACAUCAAACUCCCCAAUUUCACUGGAAUGGGGAUGGUUUUCUCACAAAAUACCAAGGACAUAGGAGAGACGAACGAAGAAAACUAAUUGCGUAUGAGCUCUACCCCGAUUCUGCUCAUAUGCGGCGCAAUACAUUUUUCAGAUACUGACACUUCUCCAUUGAGAUACAUUCUGGUUACAAUAUUACACCAUUCGUAAGUUAAUGUCCACCUGCCUGUUUGCAGCUUAUUGCAUAUCAUAAGAGUCGCCAUGAAAUUGUAGCUUUGAACACCGAGGGUGCCCGUCCAAUCCAUAAAGCAACAAUUAUACAGCGUGGACCGACUGUAGGAAUCGUUCUCAACUCCCAUCAAGUGACGAGACCUCAGUUAACAAAAAGAAACUAUAGGCUUGUCUUGAUAUUGCAUGGGAAGAGGUAGGGUAGCAAAUGAGCUUAUAUUUGGUCAAUACACAUUGUAACUGGAGCUAGCAGCAACGACUAACGAGCACGUCAUCCAGAGCUUGCUUGAUCAACAUGCUUGAUGUUUUGUUGUAGAAUUUUGCGUUGUUGGAGUAUUAGCUGACAUCGAUAAACAUCAAGCCAAAUUCCGUCGAAUCGUUUUUUUAUUGGUUGUAAAACUAUGCUAUGGAUUUUUCCUUAAAAAAUAAAAAACUAUGCUGUGGAUUUUGGAGUUCGUGUAAAAUUUCACCGAGUUGUCAAAAAACAUCAAAUCAAACUAUAAGAACUAUGUUUAAAAUGCACUUAAGAUACCA